CCAUGCAGGGGCGGUGGGAGCGGCGGGCCCGGGACAGGUAGGCCGGUCACGGGAGGGACUGCAGCCGAACGCGCUCCAGGAAAGAUCCGUCUGAAGGUGGCGCUGGCCCGCAGCCCGGUGGCCUGCACCGCCUCCGUUGUUCCCAGUCGCCUGCUUUUCUGUGACCUGGGAGCCCAGAAACACCCCCAUCGCUCCCUCUGGACUCUGCGCGCCCGCCGCCUAAGCAAGGGAAAAGAAAACGGAAAACCUCUCUUUGUCCCCAGAAGCGUGAUCUACCGUAUUGAGCGCUCAUUUUCUGAAGCAUCUGCUACACACUCUUCCACCUCCUGCAGGAAAGCCCAGUUGGAAGAAAACUCGAACACAAGAACUCCCAUUCAUUUUGUUUUACCUUGGCCUUUUAGGGAAAUACUUCUUGGGGUUUUUUUUUUAAGUACGUUCAAAAAGUAUUGGCAACAUUAGAAAGUAUAAAUGUAUGAGAGACCCAAAUAACUUUGAAUUCUACACAACAAAUGCAAGGAAAACGUUUGGAGUCAGUGGGGGAAAACCAUCCUCAGAUUUUGCCACGGAGGAGGACUACAAGUGGAUUGGAUGGCUCACUACACCAUAGAGACUGCAUUCCAGAAUUCAGAGUUACAAUGUCUUUGCUACAUGCUUAAAAUAGGAACCUGACUACCAGAUAUGUAAGGAAUUUGUGAGUAAAAAUAAACCACUGCUGCCUGUGCAUAUUA